rnacentral:lncRNA from 1 species
CAACUGACCAUUUCGGUCAUGUUGACUUAUUUGUAGAUCUUACUUUGCCGACAUUUAUUGCUUUUUACAGUUUAUCUCUAUCUAUAAUAAUAUUCAAGAUAAUAACCAAAAACAGCAAAAUUUCCUUAAAAUUACCAAAUUCAGAAAUUGGGCAGCAACCCAACAACGGUUGUCCGAUUCAUCUGAAAAUUUCAGGGCAGAUAGAUCUUGACCUGAUAAACAAUUUUACUUCAUGUCAGAUUUACUUUAAAUGCUUUGGUUUUUGA